AUGCUGGCUUCGGCAGCACGUACACUAAAAUUAGACCGAUACAGAAAAGAUUAGCAUGACCCCUGUGCAAGGAUGACAUGCAAAUUAGUGAAGCAUUCUAUAUUUUA
ensembl:snRNA U6 U6 spliceosomal RNA